AUUGAACGCUGGCGGCAUGCCUUACACAUGCAAGUCGAACGGCAGCGGACCUUCGGGUGCCGGCGAGUGGCGAACGGGUGAGUAAAGUAUCGGAACGUACCUUUCAGUGGGGGAUAACGUAGCGAAAGUUACGCUAAUACCGCAUAUUCUCUGAGGAGGAAAGCAGGGGACCUUCGGGCCUUGCGCUGAUGGAGCGGCCGAUAUCAGAUUAGCUAGUUGGUGGGGUAGAGGCCUACCAAGGCGACGAUCUGUAGCGGGUCUGAGAGGAUGAUGCGCCACAAUGGGACUGAGACACGGCCCAGACUCCUACGGGAGGCAGCAGUGGGGAAUUUUGGACAAUGGGGGCAACCCUGAUCCAGCAAUGCCGCGUGAGUGAAGAAGGCCUUCGGGUUGUAAAGCUCUUUUGUCAGGGAAGAAACACCAGCUCUAACACGGUCUGGGAAUGACGGUACCUGAAGAAUAAGCACCGGCUAACUACGUGCCAGCCGCCGCGGUAAUAC
rnacentral:rRNA from 1 species